UGGAAUGAGAAGUUCUUAAAUGCUAAC
rnacentral:piRNA from 1 species